rnacentral:tRNA from 1 species
ACCUGGGUGGCUCAGUCGGUUAAGCCUCCGACUUCAGCUCAGGACAGGAUCUCGCAGUUCGUGGGUUCAAGCCCCACAUCAGGUU